UGGGGAAUUUUGCACAAUGGGGGAAACCCUGAUGCAGCGACGCCGCGUGAUUUAGAAGGCCUUCGGGUUGUAAAAAUCUUUUCUAUGGGAAGAAAAUGACAGUACCAUAGGAAUAAGGACCGGCUAAUUACGUGCCAGCAGCCGCGGUAAUACGUAAGGUCCGAGCGUUGUCCGGAAUCAUUGGGCGUAAAGGGUACGUAGGCGGGUAAGCAAGUUAGAAGUGAAAUCCUAUAGCUCAACUAUAGUAAGCUUUUAAAACUGCUCAUCUUGAGGUAUGGAAGGGAAAGUGGAAUUCCUAGUGUAGCGGUGAAAUGCGCAGAUAUUAGGAGGAAUACCCGUGGCGAAGGCGACUUUCUGGCCAUAACCUGACGCUGAGGUACGAAAGCGUGGGUAGCAAACAGG
rnacentral:rRNA from 1 species